rnacentral:rRNA from 1 species
GAUAAACGCUGGCGGCGUGCCUAAUACAUGCAAGUCGAGCGAACGGACGAGAAGCUUGCUUCUCUGAUGUUAGCGGCGGACGGGUGAGUAACACGUGGAUAACCUACCUAUAAGACUGGGAUAACUUCGGGAGACCGGAGCUAAUACCGGAUAAUAUUUUGAACCGCAUGGUUCAAAAGUGAAAGACGGUCUUGCUGUCACUUAUAGAUGGAUCCGCGCUGCAUUAGCUAGUUGGUAAGGUAACGGCUUACCAAGGCAACGAUGCAUAGCCGACCUGAGAGGGUGAUCGGCCACACUGGAACUGAGACACGGUCCAGACUCCUACGGGAGGCAGCAGUAGGGAAUCUUCCGCAAUGGGCGAAAGCCUGACGGAGCAACGCCGCGUGAGUGAUGAAGGUCUUCGGAUCGUAAAACUCUGUUAUUAGGGAAGAACAUAUGUGUAAGUAACUGUGCACAUCUUGACGGUACCUAAUCAGAAAGCCACGGCUAACUACGUGCCAGCAGCCGCGGUAAUACGUAGGUGGCAAGCGUUAUCCGGAAUUAUUGGGCGUAAAGCGCGCGUAGGCGGUUUUUUAAGUCUGAUGUGAAAGCCCACGGCUCAACCGAGGAGGGUCAUUGGAAACUGGAAAACUUGAGUGCAGAAGAGGAAAGUGGAAUUCCAUGUGUAGCGGUGAAAUGCGCAGAGAUAUGGAGGAACACCAGUGGCGAAGGCGACUUUCUGGUCUGUAACUGACGCUGAUGUGCGAAAGCGUGGGGAUCAAACAGGAUUAGAUACCCUGGUAGUCCACGCCGUAAACGAUGAGUGCUAAGUGUUAGGGGGUUUCCGCCCCUUAGUGCUGCAGCUAACGCAUUAAGCACUCCGCCUGGGGAGUACGACCGCAAGGUUGAAACUCAAAGGAAUUGACGGGGACCCGCACAAGCGGUGGAGCAUGUGGUUUAAUUCGAAGCAACGCGAAGAACCUUACCAAAUCUUGACAUCCUUUGACAACUCUAGAGAUAGAGCCUUCCCCUUCGGGGGACAAAGUGACAGGUGGUGCAUGGUUGUCGUCAGCUCGUGUCGUGAGAUGUUGGGUUAAGUCCCGCAACGAGCGCAACCCUUAAGCUUAGUUGCCAUCAUUAAGUUGGGCACUCUAAGUUGACUGCCGGUGACAAACCGGAGGAAGGUGGGGAUGACGUCAAAUCAUCAUGCCCCUUAUGAUUUGGGCUACACACGUGCUACAAUGGACAAUACAAAGGGCAGCGAAACCGCGAGGUCAAGCAAAUCCCAUAAAGUUGUUCUCAGUUCGGAUUGUAGUCUGCAACUCGACUACAUGAAGCUGGAAUCGCUAGUAAUCGUAGAUCAGCAUGCUACGGUGAAUACGUUCCCGGGUCU